CCUUCGGAGCGUCAAAGCAACGAAAGUAGCAUUAGUUUUGCCAAAUCGGACGCGUUGAACGAGGAA
rnacentral:ncRNA from 1 species